UUUCCUUCCUCUUGACAUAAUCACAGAGAUUGACUCUCUUCCUCACCAAGCUCUCCCUCUUUUUAAACUCUCUGUGUUUAUUCUUCUCACCCAACUCUCUGCUCUUAAGCCUUAGGAGAAAUAAGAAGCGAAGUAAGAAAUAACCCAAUUGAUAAUCAUGGUCAUCAGUUAAAAAACCCAAUGGACGUCCGUUAGAAUAAGCCAAAGGCCAG
rnacentral:lncRNA from 1 species